UGUCAAAACUCCAGCCUUCUACUCCAUCUAAUGUUGGAGAUUAGCCCUUAUGGGCAUCAUCUUCAGCCCUUCCAAAACCUACAGGUCUGAGCCACUUACUCAACCAGUUUAUGGAGCACACAUUCUAAUGGAGGGAGGUAGACAAUAAACACCAUAAAAAGCAGGUAUCAAGGAGCAUUCAGUGACUCCUCUCCUCUUGAAGAACCAAAGCUGAUGAAAAGAAGGCCAGCCUCUGCCGUGAAGUCUCCCUCUCCCGAGUCCUUUGGGUUGCAAUAAUCAGAGACUCAAGUUGAGUGGAGACACACACUGAACAGACGACAUGUCAGCAAAACUUGCCCCAAAAGUUGGGGAGGGGAAUGGUGCUCAACUGAAGGCAGCUGCUCUUGGGAGAGUCUUGACGGAGACCUUUGCAGUGACGGUGCCUGGCAUCAGUGAUUGAGGGGGGACGAUCUGAUCGACUUUUGUCUCUGAAGGAAAACCCUGAGGAAACUGGCUACAGUCCUCAGUGGCUGGUGGAUGGAUAAA